rnacentral:rRNA from 1 species
GAAAGAUGGUUCUGCUAUCACUCUUGGAUGGACCUGCGGUGCAUUAGCUAGUUGGUAAGGUAACGGCUUACCAAGGCAAUGAUGCAUAGCCGAGUUGAGAGACUGAUCGGCCACAUUGGGACUGAGACACGGCCCAAACUCCUACGGGAGGCAGCAGUAGGGAAUCUUCCACAAUGGACGAAAGUCUGAUGGAGCAACGCCGCGUGAGUGAAGAAGGGUUUCGGCUCGUAAAGCUCUGUUGGUAGUGAAGAAAGAUAGAGGUAGUAACUGGCCUUUAUUUGACGGUAAUUACUUAGAAAGUCACGGCUAACUACGUGCCAGCAGCCGCGGUAAUACGUAGGUGGCAAGCGUUGUCCGGAUUUAUUGGGCGUAAAGCGAGUGCAGGCGGUUCAAUAAGUCUGAUGUGAAAGCCUUCGGCUCAACCGGAGAAUUGCAUCAGAAACUGUUGAACUUGAGUGCAGAAGAGGAGAGUGGAACUCCAUGUGUAGCGGUGGAAUGCGUAGAUAUAUGGAAGAACACCAGUGGCGAAGGCGGCUCUCUGGUCUGCAACUGACGCUGAGGCUCGAAAGCAUGGGUAGCGAACAGGAUUAGAUACCCUGGUAGUCCAUGCCGUAAACGAUGAGUGCUAAGUGUUGGGAGGUUUCCGCCUCUCAGUG